AAAAAGCAUUUUUACUGUCCUCUGUGUGCACAUUGGUUGAAGAGCACUCCCAUAAAAAUUUGGCUUCCACAGUCUUCGCAGCAAGUUCACAGGGUCACAA
rnacentral:lncRNA from 1 species